AGAGUCCAUUUGGGAGCCAGUGUCUGUGCAAAGACUCCGAAAGCACACAGAAACUCCCUUCCAGGUGGGAUUUGCUGCAUAAAGCCUUUGCCAUGGCAACAGGGAAACACUUGCAGAGCCCUGCAGCUGACACUGGGAAAAACCUCACCUAUUCUUAAGGAAACAGAGGAACAAGACGGGAGAAGGUUAAAAGAUGGCAUGGCUGUGCCAAUACCUUGGCAGAAUCAUUGUUCAACAUUGUCUUCAUCACUGAGUUUGUCUGAUUGGGAUGUACUCUCCACUGUUCUAGAGACAAUGAAGCUGGGACACAGAGCAAUGGUCUUGCAUGACUGAUAAGUAGGACCAGCAUUCACCUCACACUCUUUUGGGAGAAAUAUGUGAUCCAAACAGAGAUGUAGGCUAUUCUUGCCUCAGAUUUGCGUUACACAGAAGUGGUGAUUUCUUGCCAUCCAGAUUCUUUUACAUAGUGUUUUCCAGUUCCUGUUGCUGACCAAUUUCUCUGGAGGUGGAGGGCAAGCCAUAAUGGCAUAAAAACAUCCCUUGGGAGCUGGCAUGUAUUCCCAGCAGUUAGCAUCUUUAUAAUCCGGUUGGCACCUUGUUACCACAGAGAAUGAAGAAAAAAUCAGCAAGGCAGAAUUACUUUCUUGGUGGCUUUCAUCACUCCUAAAGAUGGACUCGAGAAUUCUAGGAAAAGAAAAAAAUAAAUGACUAACAGAAAUCUAGAGAGUUCUAAUUAUUCAGGAGCUCAUUUUCCAGCAUGUGGGCUGUUGGUAAUUCCUUUCUGCCUCCCUUUCUCCCACACAAUUUUGUUAGGAAGAGAAAUGUGCAGAAGCUGUGCCCAUAUCAACAUAGUUCCUUAGUAGUUAGAAGCUAUCAUCAAAUGUUCCAUGUAAUUAAUUUCUAAAAUAAGGCUCAUGGGUUUUUUAUGGAUUUAGGCUAGCUUUAGCAACCACUCAGACUGUUUUUCAAGGCUCAGCCAUAAGCCACACCUCAUAGAUGAUGUGUUUAACUAGAAGCCAGAGACUCUUGAACAUAAUGGCUAGUGUAUGGGGAUGAUGGAGUCAGAAAGGACAGUAGGGUACAUCCAGGGAAAGGAAGGUCUAUUUCUGUACUUGUGUGACUGGGAAUAAACAUGUCUUGCAAAACAUUUAGACCCUAACUUUUCACUGGUCUCAACUCCUGUGGGCACGGAGAAUGCAACAAAGCGACCAUUUCCUGCUCCUUCCUUGAGUUUAUAUUUAGUGAAGAAGAGCAAGCAAACAAGUCACUUUGGAUGAGGACAGAUUCUGUAAAAAUAAUCAAGAGGGGUUGAUGGCAUAUUGUCAGCAGAUAUGUGGAGGAAGGACAGCUUUAGAAGGAGCCUCAGCCUCAGGAACUGAACUAUA